rnacentral:lncRNA from 1 species
AAAUACUUCCACUCCACAUAGUUCUCACCAUCCCCAUCAAGCUUGAUGUCGGUGAGUUUGGACGAAGUAGUCAUAAACACAGUGACUGGGGUCUUCCCUUCACCCUUAGUCUUAGAGUUGUCUUCAGCCAUAACGCAGAUAGUAAUUACCAGGAGACUAUGAAACAUCUAAAAUUUUAUGGUGUGUUCUAUCAUAAAUGAAGCAUGCUAUUUUUGUAAUGUUGAUAUUUGAGUUGAUAUAUUACUGAAAGUAAAUUUUGUUCAUUAAUUUAGGGAGUCUGCAAUGUUGAUGAACUCUAUGUAUCCAGAUGGCUGGUUUGCAUUUGGGGCUGCU